UGUAGCCCCGCCUCUAAAGGGAGGGUAUUCUGAGUGGCAGUUCUUUCCUAUUCCCUAUGCCCUUCCUGCUACCCAAGAAGAUGGUCCACUCACUUUCUGUAUACUGAUCGUGAGCAGCCUUACUGAUACAGGAGCUAUGGUUUCCCAUGGGGGUUUCCUGUCGAGUGGUCUAGUAUGCCGCAGGUCCAGCCCAGACCAGGCUGCUGAGAAGGGCUGGAUGGCUUGCCGAGAGCCCUGAAAGACCAUCUGGCCCCACUGAGGAAGCGUGUCACCGUGUUCUGCACCUUUAAGAUCUGUGAGUUCUUCCUGUGCAUGAGGUUGGACCAAGCACGUGAGAGACUGCCUGGAGCCAUUUGUGCCGCAGCCCAGGAGCUCUGCAUGGAAACAGUCUUCAGAGUCUCCACCAGGUCUCAAGAUGGUUGCUGCCCCUCCAGCCAUGAUGUCACCAUGCAAAAGGAAGAAAGCAGAACCCCCCAAAAGGCAUGAAUAA